CAGCAGUCGCCGCGGUAAUACGUAGGGUGCAAGCGUUGUCCGGAAUUAUUGGGCGUAAAGAGCGUGUAGGCGGCCCGAUUAGUCCGCUGUGAAAGUCCAGGGCUCAACCCUGGAAUGCCGGUGGAUACUGUCGGGCUAGAGUCCGGAAGGGGCGAGUGGAAUUCCUGGUAUAGCGGUGAAAUGCGCAGAUAUCAGGAGGAACACCAAUGGCGAAGGCAGCUCGCUGGGACGUGACUGACGCUGAGACGCGAAAGCGUGGGGAGCAAACAGGAUUAGAUACCCGCGUAGUCCCUGUCUCUUAUAC
rnacentral:rRNA from 1 species